CACCUCUCAGGGUCACACCUGGAGAGUUUCCAGUAGUCUACCAGUCUCAACUAUGGGAGGGAAAGUCAAGCAGAGGUAUACCCAUUCCAAUCCUAGCGUGGGCAGUGGCUAGCGAGUGAAAGAAAAUCUGCUAUAAGU